rnacentral:lncRNA from 1 species
CUGAGAACUGAGGGUGGUUUGGCAUUGCAGUUUUAUUGAUGAGCUGAGAUGCAGGAAUAUGAAGUGCAAGUCCCAAGGUCACAGAUCAGGACUCAACACAGGGAAAAGAUUUGUCCUCAUCCCUGCAGAUGAAGCACACAGAUGGAAGGGGCUAUUUCCAUGCAGCUACUUCAGGUGUUUUCAGGUGUUUCAUCAGCUAUAGCUGGGCAGCUACAAUUAAGCAAUUG